UAAGGAAUAUUGCUCAAUGGGAGAAAUCCUGAAGCAGCAACGCCGCGUGGAGGAUGAAGGGUCUAUGACUUGUAAACUCCUGUAAAGAAGGAAAAAAUUCCCAUUUGAUGGGAGAUGAUGGUACUUCUGGAGUAAGCCCCGGCUAACUACGUGCCAGCAGCCGCGGUAAUACGUAGGGGGCAAGCGUUGUCCGGAUUUACUGGGUGUAAAGGGUGCUCAGGCGGAUUUGUAAGUCAGAGGUGAAAUCUUACAGCUUAACUGUGAAACUGCCUUUGAUACUGCAAGCCUAGAGUAUGGAAGAGAGUGAUGGAAUAUCUGGUGUAGCAGUGAAAUGCGUAGAUAUCAGAUAGAACACCAAUGUCGAAGGCAGUCACUUGGUCCAUUACUGACGCUAAAGCACGAAAGCGUGGGUAGCAAACA
rnacentral:rRNA from 1 species